rnacentral:lncRNA from 1 species
UAAAGUUUGGAUGUGUGUUUAUCCAACAGCCGCAGGUGGGAUUGACAAUCCGAUGAUCAAUCCAUUUGUAGAGAACGCCCCGAGCUUAUCCGGGCUGGCGUGUUCAAGGCUGCUGGUUUGUUCAGCAGGGAAGGAUGCAUUUACGCCUAGAGGGAUUCUUUACGUUGAGACUCUGAAGAAAAGUGGGUGGAAAGGUGAAGUACAACUGGUGGUGGUUGAUGGAGAAGAUCAUGAAUUUCAUGUAAAUAAUCCUCAUACUAAGCAAGCAAAGGAUUUGAUCAAGAAAUUGGCAGAUUUUAUUUCCAAGUGAGAUUUUUUUCAGCUUUUGGAAUAAGUAUACAUAUUUCAGCUUGUGGUGUAGUUUCUAUUGAACGUGUUGUGGCCAAGUUCACAAUAAUAUUUACUUAUGCAAGAUUACUUUUUUAUGUGUAUUUUCAUUUAUAAGUAAAUAAGUAUUUGUUAGGGUAAAUUUAAAACGUUACUAAAUAAUUUAGUUCAAAAUCGGUAAUUAAUUUUAAUUUCGAAGUUCAUACAACCCACAAAUUUUAUCAAUCUUUUUACCAUAUGUUCAAUCAACGUUUAUCAAAAUUUAUUUUAACUCUAAUCAAAAGCUUUCUGAAACAACCCCUCUUUUUUUUUCUUUAAUUAAUUUGAGCACACAAAAAAGGAACACUUAUAAUAAUAUGUAAGUUUUAUUCUACCUUAUCAACAAUAACUUGAAAAAAAUUUAAUAUAUUAAAUUGGACAUUAUAAAAAUAAAUGAUAGGUACCACAUCUCUCUCAUGCACUCCCCUGGACAAAUAAACAUGAUUUUAGAAUGUGGGGACUACCUACUAUUAUUAGCCGACCCACUAAUAAGAUUAUUCCUAAAUUUCCACUAUCUUGACGACUUUGGCCUAUUAUAAAAUUGUAUUAUGCUAAACGUACCUAAUUUUUUCACCUAAUUUUUUACCUACUACUCACAAUAAGAGAUGGAGAUCACGAUUCGACAUUAUUUAAUACACACAGGGUCCACGUAAUAUGUGAGAGGGGGGACACGAUUCGGGAGUCCCCCCUGUACAUACAUUUUUUUCCUAUAAAAUUACUCCAUAGAUCUACCAUAGGCUAUGAAAAAGCUAUUUUCUCCAUUCAAAGAAAAGAAGAGUAUAUUAUUCUCGAUAAAGUAUCAAUCUAAUCAAUAUUCAAAAGAAUAUUGUUUCAUUUUCACGUAUUAAUAUUUAAAAAGAAUAUUGUAUUAUUAUUCUCAAAAAAAUAAAAUAUUUAUACAUAUCAUAGCCUAGACGAAUAUCAUGUUAAUUUUCUUAGUGAAGCAUGAAUCUUUUUAAACAAUGUUCUAGAUGAAUAUUAUAUUAAUACUCUUGAAGAAGUAUAAAUCUUAUGCAUUUUAUUGUUUAAAAGAAUAAUUUAUUGAUUCUUCUUAAAUAACAUGACUUAUACAAAAUAAUACUUCAGAAGAAUAUUGUAUUAGUCCCAAAAAUAACUUUGAACAGAUCAGUAUUUUUUUAAAAUUAAAAUAUUUUAGCAUGAUAUUCGUGAAGAAUAUGGUUACGUUCAUGAAGAAACACAAGGUAAGUAUACAACAAAAAAAUUAUAUUUACAUCUUCAUGUUGCUCCUUUAUUCUUUUUUUUUUCUUUUUUUUUUUUUAAUGCAAUAAUAACAAUCCAUUUUUCUUAGUAACUUCUGCAAUUAAAGUAAAAACUGUGUUCCACAAUUAGAUGUUUAAUCUAUGAAAUAAUACUUAAAGGCCCGUUUGAUUUUGGCAAAUCACGUCAUCUCACCUAACUAAUAAAGGGUAGCAUAAAAUCCUCAUCUCUUUGAGGUUGUCUUGUAAUUCUUCACCACCGUGUUUUCUAAACUAAAUCGAAACUAUCAUAUAUUUGAGACAAAUCAUAAGUCCUCGCCUAUUUGUGCAAACUUAUAUUUAUGAGGCCAACCAUAGAACUUUAUCUAUCUGAAAUUGGCUCGCGAUCCCACACCAUUAUAUUUCAGAGGUCAUUCAUAUGUCCUCAUCUACUUGGACCCCAGCCUAAAAUAUAAAACGCCGAUUUUGUAAUUGCGAAGGCCAUUCGUAAGCUCUCACCUAUUGAGGUUGGCUUUAGUUAGAUGCUACUUGUGAGUCAUUAUGUCUCAGAGGUUAUUCGCCGCAUUCGCUCAUUAGAAUUUGGCUCAUAUUUCAAAAGGCAAUUCAUAUUCUAGCCUAGUUGAGAAUAUCUUAUAUUUUGAAAGUUUGUCACUAGUCUUAUAAUGCCCGAGGUAAUAUGGCAAACUUCUUGCUUCUACAUUUCUUUCAAGUCCAUUGAUGUAUAAAUGUAUAACUCAUAGUUGGUAGACUAUUGUUACACCUAUAUUUUACGUGGUGCACAUGCGGCAAGAUGGUGCCCCACAUUAUUUAGCUCGAUUUUGACUAUCCAUUUUUAGUAGACAUUGGUGGCGUCAAGUUAAUUGUGCUAGUUAUAUCACGUCAAUUAAAAACGUUAGGCAAUCUUGUUGUAGACUUAAGGCCUAGAUCAGAUUUUACAAUAGAUCAGGAUAAAAUAUUAUUAAUAGCCAAUCAUACGAAAACUGGUUGAACUACAGGUACUUACUGAACCACUCGGCUUUACGCUCUCCCCCGAAUUGUGCAAACCUGAACGCAGCGAGGGGAAGGGGGCCAAGGCCUCCUUGACCUACGUGCCUCAUAUCCUUCUAUUUAAGUCAUUGGUUGAGGUAACCCCUAGCCAAAUCCUUUUUCACUUAUCUCCCAUGCUUUUAUAUAAUUCCGGCGACUGACUUGAUUAUUGGAGUAAAACAAAUACUAGACCUUUUUUGGAACAAUAACCUUUGCCACUACUAGGAUUUUAUUGUGCAGGCAACUUAUUGGUGGAAUGUAAGGUGGGCGAAAGAUGCUGAAAGCUCGACCCUUCUCGAUUUUAAAGUUAACUCUAUAUGAAACUCACAAUAUAUAAUUACAAGCGAUAGAUCCAUCCCUUAUUAAGCCAUGUUUGAGUCCCAUAUUUUGUAAAAAACAAAUAUUUUGGAUUAGUGACUUUUUGGAUAAUGUAUGCUUAAAAAAUAAGUAAAAGUUUUAGAUUUACAUAUAAAAUUAUUUUAUGAGAGAAUGUGUGAUUGAAAAUAAACUUAAAAAAUGAAUUUUUUUUUUUUUUUUUUUUAAAAGAAAAAGUUGUAGAGCCCAAACAGAAGCUUGGUUGGCUUAGAAAAUGUCAAUCAAGUUGAAAUUUGAUUACCUAAAAGACAAACCAGCUAAUAUUUUAUCUAACGCAAAAACUCACCGAUUAUAAAAGUUUAAAAAAUAAAUAAACUUAGUGAGACAUGCACUAAACUUUGUUUUCAAACCUUCAAUUAAAUUGUGAAUAUUACUAGGGAUAACUUUGAGAAUGGCUGGAGAAUUCUUUCUUUUUUCCACAAUAGCCUUUUCUAUUAAAAGUACUAUUUUACCCUUAAUGAAAUUAUUUACAAGAUUUAUCUUAUAUCUUUAAAGAUUUAUCAAUCAAGCCCUAUAUCUAUAUUUUUUAAUCUUUUGAACACCCUUAAAUAUUCUCUAUAUCUUGUUAGUUCUUCAAAGAUUAUAGGUUGUCCUUUUUUAGUUAUAUAUCCUCGAACUAAACCUUCUGAAAUUUCUUCUUAUAUAUUUCUAUGUUUAGUUAUAAUAUCUUCUACUUUUCUUAUUUCUUUAUAAGUUAUCACAGAAUCAAAUCCUAUAUUAUUUUUACAACUAUAAUCUAUAUCUCUAUAUAUUUCUUCAAUUUUUUCUUUACCAACAGGGAAUAUAUCAUCCGAUUUUUCAUCUAAUUUAAAUAAAAACGAAACAUCUUUUUCAUCUAAAAAUAAAAUAAGAUUAUUAUCAUCAUUAGUAGUGGAAGUGGAUGCUUAUGAAUUGUUCAUGAAAACAAUUAAAGCAUAAGCAUGUAAAAGUAGAUAAAUAACUUACAGUAAUCAAGUAGAAAUAAUCAGGCUUUCCCUCCAGUAUGCUUUUAUAGAUGCUUUGCAUGUACUUAAUCAAUCUUCUGAAUCAAAUAAAGUUUUUAGAAUGUUUUUGAAAUCAUUUGGGUCCACAACUGCUUCCGCAAAAGGCUUUUUAAUUAAGGUUGUAUUUCUCACUCUAGAGAACUAGCCGUGUUUCCACAGACGCUAUCUCACAGUAUCCAGAGUCUCUGUUUUCACCUCUAUCCAAACUCUUUUCAGAAUAAAAUUCUUACUUGGAACGAAAUUUUAAAAGAUAACUCACACACAAGGUGCUACAAGUUUUUGUUAGAAAACUGCCUUUUUCCCCUAAACCAUUCUUUAAAUAUGGGUACUUUAUCAUGGCUAACAUCCAUUCAAAAUCAAAGUUUUGAAAAUCUUUUAAAAUUUCUAUCUGUACUGCCGAGGAAUCAUGAGAAAUUUAACGAAAUCCUUUUAUUUAAGCUUUGUUAAACAUAACAAACUUUACUUUGAUAUUCAUAAAUUGAAAUUGUACAUACUUACAAACUAUAUUUACAUAUCUUUGGUACUCACCUUAUGAAGUUUAGAACUUCAUAAGUGAUUACCUUAUUACACGCUUUCCUAUCUUCAGGCUAUCUAAUAUUUUUCUGAAUACAAGUAGUGUAGACAGAUUACAAAAGAUUUCUCUUCCUUUUGUUUAAGAGAUAAGCUGUUUCGAGAUGUCCUCCUCCUCCCUUCAUGCACCUUUUUAUAGGAGAUUUUGGAAUCUUAUCUUGGACAGGUGUUUUCCAUCUUUCUUUGUUGGGUAGCUAGGCCAUCUUAUCUCCACCGAAUUCUUCAUUGUCUUCUUGUUGGGUGGACCUCUUCUUUUGAAAUUAGAUACCUUAUCUUUUGAAUUUGUGUGCCACUUGUAACUAUUGGUGAGGAGUAGUUACAAUUAUAGAGAAUUUUCUUAUAAUAUCUUCUGUCUUCUAGUAGCCACGGUUUUUCUUUAAUAAAUUUCUUUAUUAAAGUAGUGAUAAAUGGCUACUUUAGUCACCAUCACUUUUCCAUUAUUGAAUUAAAGAAUUCUGCAGGGAAUUCUUCAUCAUUAAGGGAUGCUUGGCUCAUAUCUUCAACUACACAGUAUUCACAAUGGUGAUCACUGUAAUUCCAAAGUAAUUUGCAUAAUUCUUUAGCCAUAUCCUCUGAUCCAUGCACUUGGUUGGAUAUAAUUGCAGAUAAUAAAUGAUCAAGAUAACAAAUAUCUUCUUCUUUGGUAUCCAUCCUUGCAUUGGAAUAGAUAAUAUGAUUUUCAGAUGGAUAAACCCAUAUUUUUUCUUUCUCAGUAAUUAUCUGAGUUACAUGUUCAAAUAUCUCUUUAUACCCUUUUGCUCAUCUGUAGGGCAUCAUAUUUAGAAUAUCUUGAUAUCCAUUUUUAACAACCUUUUGAUUGGUUGGUAAAAAAUGUUGAUUUGUGAUUCUCAUUUUGAUCACAUGGAAAGAUGGAUGCAUAUAUUCAAGAAUAGGAUCUCACUCCAUAGUUGCUGAAUGAAAUCUGAUGUAUAUGUUUGUUGUUUUAACAACUUCAGUAUAUCUUUUAACAACUUUCCUGAUGUUGGCUGGAAGUUGAGCUCUCUUUGAGAUCUUUGCUAGGGUAUAUACAGAGUAUAUUUCCUAUCUCAAAGCAAUUUCGAACCCAAUUGGCUGGUGCUCCUGGAUAAGAAUUUAUCUUGUUGUACUUUGAAUAGUGGAGGGUCUUCAUCCACUUUCCAAUUUCCAAAUACCAGUCCGAAAGAAUAUUAAAAAUAACAAUAAAGAAUGUUACUUCUUCAUGGUUAUCUUUUCUGGGAAAUUUUGCUUCAUGGCAUAUUUUGACAAUAUCUUUUGGAUUUAUCCUUUCAAUAGAAAGUUUAGAUUGAGUUUGGCUCUGUGAAGAGCUACCUUCUCUUUUGAUAUCUUGAAUAUCUUCAUUACCAGUAAUAGGUUUGAAUAUUCCCUGUAAAGGGGUUCCUAUUACCUUCUUUUCUUUCCCUUUAUCCUCGGGGAGAGCGCUAGUAUUUACAAGUCCCUGCAAAGGGAUACUAGUCUUGGUACAAGUAACUUCUGCCUCAAGAGCUAUAUUUUUGCCUCGAAGGCUAUCUUGGAUAUUUUGAAUUUGGGUUUCCAAAUAGGAAACUUUUAUCUCAAGUAUUUGGACUUUAGUCCUUAAUUGUUCCAGCUCCAUUCCUGCUAAGAUAAUCAGGAAGAAAGUUAGUUUUACCUCUUAUAUAUUCAAUAUCAAAUUUGAAAUAUGAAAACCAAAUUUGUAUCCUAAUAAUAUAUCUAUUGGUAAUAGAUGGAUCAACAUUAUUUUUCAAAAAUGCUUUAACUUGAGUAUUAUCAGUUCUAAUCAAAAACUUUUUUGGUAAUAGAUAAUCCUCAUAUUUCUGAACUCCUCUUUUCACAGCAAUAAGUUCUUUUCUAUUCAUCUCAUAUCUUGUUUCAACCUCUUUGAAUGUUCCUGAUGUAUAACCUGCAAGUAUCUCAGGACAAGAACAAUCUUCUCCACAUUUAUAUUCUUUAUGAUUCUUUUUCACCUUUAACACUGCACCCCAGUAAUGGUUUGAAACAUCAGUUUCAAGGAUAAAGAAGUCUUCUUCUUGUGGUAUUACAAGUUUGGGCAAUACCUUUAACUCUUCUUUAACUUUUCUUAUAUUUUUACAGUCUUGUUCUUCCCAAGACCACAUAGUAUUUUUUCUUAACUUUGGAAGAAAAUAAUUUUUUAAUUUGGCGCAAUUUUCAAUGAAUCCUUCAGCAUAAUUUAAUAUACCAAAGAACCUUUGUAAUUGUUUUUUAUCUUUGAUUUCUUCAGGAAAUUCUUGAAGUUUUUCUCCAAUGUGAGAUUGCAAUUGCAAUUUUCCUUCUUUUAUAAAUAAUCCUAAAAAUUCUAUCUCUGUUUUGGCUAUCUCAGCUUUCUUUUGAGAAAGUGUAAUACCAUGUUUUUUCAUAAUAUAACAAAAUUUCUCAAGAUGUUCAAUAUGUUCAUCAAUAUUAUUUGAAUGAAUAAGUAAAUCAUCUACAUAUGCAAUACAAAAUUGAGUAAUAGGUUUUAUUACCUCAUCCAUCCUUCUUUGGAAUAUCUGUGGUGCAUUUUCAACCCAAAUGGCAUUACAUUCCAUUCGUAUUGUCCUAAAAGAUUGGGGGUACUAAAUGCAAUUAGUGGUUUACUUUCUUCUGUAAGCAUGAUUUGCCAAAACCCUGACUUACGAUCAAAUUUUGAAAAUAUCUUUUUGUUUUGUACUUGUUUAAUAAGAGUGUUCUUAUUUGGCAAGUAGUAUCCAUCAAAUUUAGUAACUUCAUUUAAUUUCUUGUACUUUAUCACUAUUCUGACUUUUCCUCUUUUUAUCUAACUAUGUUUUCUAACCAUAAAGGCUGGGCUGCUAUGUGGGCUUUUACUAGGCCUAAUUAGUCUGGCUUCUAGUAAUUCUUUUAUCUAGUUUUUAAAUUCUUUUUGAUCAUCAACACUAUAUUUCAUAGGUUUGACUCUUACUAUAGUGUCUGGAUUGAUUAAUUCUAUUUUUGCCUUUACUUUGUCUGUAUCCCAUUUUUCUAAUGGAUUUUCAGAAUAUGUUUCAGAAAUUUCUUUUUUCAAUUUUUCCAACCUAUUUUCUAUUGUCAUUUUUAAGACUGUAACUGGUUUAAAUUUUUCUGUACUCCAGCAUCCACCACGCUGGGUUGAGCAACUCUGAUGGUCUAUAUCUCUAUAUGCAAUUAUAACAGCUUUAUUUAUUUUUGGUGUAAAUAUUUUAUGUGCACAAGGUGUUGUGAACAUAUACUUAUCAAUAUAUUGUGUAAAUGGUUCAUAUUUUAAUAGGAAAUUUUGUCCUAAUAAAAUAUCACAUCCUAUUGUGGUUGACAUGUAUAUUGUAUCAACAAAUAUUUCUCUAACGGAAAUUAGAAAAGGUACUUGAGUAGCAUACUUGUUAUAUAUUACCUUAUUUCCACCUGCUGUUAUAGCAGUGACUAUCUUCUUUGAAUUGUAUUUCCAGUAUUCAGAUGGUAAUACAUUUGGUAAGCAUAAAUUUAUUGUACUUCCUGUAUCUAAGUAAGCAUAGAAUUUAAUCCUACAAUAACUUUUUAUAUUGAGUGUAAUUUCAAUAUAUGGACUCAUGGGAUUAGUACUUAUUACUCUUUCCAUGAUAACAAUGAUUUCAUAUUUUCAUAUAUUCUUGAAAUGAUAAUUGAAUUAUCGUCAACUGUUAUUUUCAAAUAUCCUUGAUAGAUUUUAUAUGGACUAUAUUUCUCAAGAAAGUUCAUUCCUAGUAGAAUAGGUGAACGAUCUACUCCAUAUAACUCAUCUUUGUAUAAAAUUAUUUUUUUAAUAUAUUCUUUCUGAUCCUCUCCUACAAGUAUAAGAGGGAAUUUAACAUAUUUUCUUAUUUCAAGAUUAUUUCCCAAAUAAUCCUUAAAUAUAUAUGGUUCUGAUAUUUCAAAGUCUAUUAAAUGAUUAACAAACUUGGCAUUUACAUGGCUUUUAUCUGCUCCAGUAUCUAUGAGGACAAGAAGAUUCUUCUUAAAUCCUUCUUGGUUUACAUAUCUUGUCUUGAUGUAAUAUUGUGAACUUAAUGGUUCAGCAAUACUUAAAUUCUUAAGUCUGCCUAUCCUAGAAUCUUGUCUAGAGAGAAAUCUUGCAAUAAGAUUAUCUCCUUCUAAGCGACACUAUUUCUUCUUAUUAAUUUUCCUUCAGAAUUAAUUUCUUUUGCUUGUUUAUGAAAAUCAAGCAUUAUUUGUUCUGGUAUCGUUACUUCAUGUUCUUGGUAUUUUCUAGGAGGUAUAUAUUGUGCUAAUUCCUCAAAAUCUUUAUGUAUGAUAAUAUUAUCAGUUAUCUUUCUUAGAUUAUUAUGAUGGCUAGUACUAAAAGCAAAAAUUGAUUUUAUGCUUAUACUAAUAGCCUUACUUCUUCGUAACAUUUUCAGAUUUCUAAUUCUAUAGUAUAAAUUGAAACUUUGGUCAAUAUUUUCAUCAUUUAAAGAUAUUGCAUAAUUUGGUUUCACUGUAAAUAUUAUCUUCUGAUAAACUAAGUUUCCUACAACUGUUCCUAAUAGAGUAUCUAUAGGAUCUUGUAAGAUUCUAUUAUCCAUACAAUAGAUUUCUAUUGGUAUAUUCAUACCUUCUCUAAAGAAUCCUUUUACCAUUAUCUGGAUUCCUCCUAAUUCAAUACAUUUCAAUUUAUUUCUGACAUUUUCUGGGAUUUUGGAUAAUUUUUGUUUUACCCAUUCUUUUGUAAUUAUAGGAAUUCUUGCUUUUCCUAUAGUAUCUUCUAUAUUGAUAGACAUUUCUUUAUAAUUCAUACUUACAAUUGAUUUAUUUACUCUUGGUAAAAUUCCUAAGAAUCUUUGAUGGAAUACAUCUUUUUCUUGUAGAUCUAAUAUAUUUUUAGUGAUUCCUGCAUAUUUUUUAAUAUCAAAGGUAAUUUUCUGAUUAAUACCUUCUAUAGAAUCUUCAACUUCUUCAGUUGUUUCAAUUUCUAUUUUUGAUUGUUGUAUCUCCUGAUUCAUAUAUACUAUCUCAUCAUAAUCUUCUUCUGAUGAGGGUGUAUCUAAUUCAUAAAUGCUACUGCAUUCACUACUUAAAUUUUCAAAAUAUUCAAUUGAUUCUAUGUCACUAUCUUCUUGAAAUUUUUUAUAAAUCCUAAGAGUUUUUAUAUUUUGUCUAUCUUUCUUUUUAAGACAUUGAGGGGCAAUGUGUCCUUCUUCAUUACAAAUAAAAUAUCUACAUUUCUUAAUGUUUCUUGGUUUAGAUUUCUUAUUCCAACUUCUUUUCUUGAAAUAUUUUUUAUGUGGUUUAAAAUUCCUUUUAUUGAAUUUUUUAUAAUUUUUGAAUUUUCUUUUGUAUUUCUUAUAUGGUUUGUAUUUCUUCUUAUGGCAUCCAAAUUGUUCAAUUUGGCCAUUAUCUUUGUAACAACAUAAUGAAUUCUUUCUUAUUUUGUAAGCCUUUUUAUUUUCUAGUGCUUCUCUGCACCACAUACUUGCCUUUUUAUUUUCUAGUGCUUCUCUGCACCACAUACCUAUCAUUAUUCUUGUAAAUUCAAUUCUACUUCCAAGACUAUCUAUUUUAACACAUUCCUCUUCUCCUAGAGGUAGUAAUUUCUCAUAUUCUUUUAAUAGCUUACUUCCCCAUGGGAAUGGUAACUUUGUAAAAUAAGAUCUUAAUAUAGGUUUAUUCUCCUGAUAAUCUCCUUGAUUAAAUAUAUAGUAUAAUUAUUCAAAUUUACAAGUAUAUCUUUCUAAUUCACACAUAUUACAUAUUUUUAGAUUUUCCAAUGCUAUCAUUCCUUGAUUAUAUUCAUCCUGUUUUUUUUCUUCUUCAUUAGAGGCAUACCUAUCUCCUAAGAAUUCUGUUGUUAAGAUUCUUUCAAAUCUUUUUAAUAUUUCCUGUAUAUUUUGUUCAUUUAGAGUAUUUCUAUUAUCUAAUACCUCAGUUCUAUUUGCUCCAUAUUUUAUCCUUCCUUUAAUAAUUUCGGGUAACUUUCUCCACCAUUCAGAAACAAUUCCUCUGAAUGUAUGUUCUAUAAAUCCAAAAGCUGUAUAUGUUUCCCAUUUAUUAAAUUGUAUUGCUAAAUCUGUACUUUUCAUUCAUGUUUCAAUAGCUUUAUUUUUAUCUACACAAUCCAAAUCUAACCAUACUCCUGUUGUGUGGAUUGGUUUAUUAUAGGAUUUCAUUGGAUUUAUUUCUUUAUGGAUUGUUUUCUUAUAUUUCCAGUAUAUCUUUUCUGUGUUUUUCUAUAUUGAUUAAUAUCAGCCUUAUCAGGUAUUGGGGUACCAUAAGGAAAAUCUUGCUCUUCAUCACUACUAAAUUCUACUUUUAUAUUCUGACUCGAAGAUGGAUUAGUAUUCAUCUUUAUAGUUUCCAUUUUUUCUGUUAAUUCUUCUAACUGUUUUUUAUAUUUUUCAUACUCUUCUCCUGUAAAUUCUAAAAAUUUUUGUUCUAUUUCUUCUACGUUUGUUAUCAUAUAUUGUUUUUCUUCAUGUUUUUCAACUUUUUUCAGAAAUUCUUCAAUUAUCUUUUCUUCAUCUACUGUAUUCAUCAUUAUUUUUGGUUCGAAACAUGGCUCUGAUACCAUUUCACCAGAGUGUGCAGCGGAGCGGUUAAUAUUUUUGAGCCAAUUAAAAUCUUCAUAAGUAUCUAAAAUGUCACAAAAAAAUUUAUAAAAUUCACUAUUUUUUAUUAAUACUUUUUCUUUAAUAAUUUUAUUUAAUUUUUUAAUUCUUCUUCUCAGAUUAAAAAUUAAUUUAUAUAUAUCAUUUUCUGUUUUGAUUAUAUUAUUGUCUAUAGAAACAUUUUUAUUUUUUAAUUUUGGAUCUAAAUAUUCUACAAAGAAUCCUUUCAGUUCUUCUUCUAAAUAAUUUAAUUCACUUUCUGUUGCAUUUCUAAGGUCAAUAAAAUUUUCUAUAAUAUUUGGGUUUAAAUUGAUUAAAAAAUUUUGGUCUAUAUUUUCUUGAGGAUCUAUUUGAAGGUUUUUAUACAUUGUAGUGACUUUGGUCGCAAUUUCUCUAUAAAGGGUAUUUUUGGAAAUAUGGUUAUUUGAAGACUAUUUUUCAAAUGUUUUCAUUUCUUAGUCUAUUUUCAAAAACCUUCCUUCUAUUUAGGCUGUUUGGAUGUAUUUCCCAUAUUACUAUUAAAAUUUGGGAUUAUAUCUUAAAAGGUCAGUUUUAUUAAGAAGAGUGGUCUAAACUCUUAUAAAUUGGCCUAUAUUCUUCUUUUUAUGCGAUGUGAGAUUUUAUCCAUUAAAAUGCCCCCAUAAGAUUUUGGCUCAUUUGAGCUAAUUAAUCUUGAAAUUUAAAUGCUUAUUUUUUGAAUCUAAAUCGAAUGGAAAUGUUCGUUAGAAUUUAAUGAGUUUUGAUACCAUUAUUAAGAGGAGUAAUCCAAAUUCUUAUAAGUUAGUCUAUGUUUUAAUCUUUAUUUAAUAUGAAAUUUUAUCUCUUAACAAUUACUUAUUCAAACUCCAUUAAUAGUGUAGUAAUGAAACAUUCAUGCUACAUGUACAUCACUUUAUAACAUUGUGCCACGUGACAGCACACUAUUGAAAGUUUAAAAACGUAAACAAUUUUUUCGCUAAUCAAUUCAUCCCAACUUGAACGAUGUCAAAAGUGAUGUCCAUUUUUCAUAUACAAAUGGCUUAACACUAAUGAAAACCAUGGACCUUUUGAAAAAGUAACACUUUGGCCUUCCACUUCACUUGAACUAACAGUGAAAAAUUGUACCCUUUUUGUUUUUAAUCACUUGACUGGUAGAUGAACUAUUCUUGAUUAAAGUUGAAGAUUAAGCCAUUGUUUGAUGUCAUUAUUUUAAAAAUAUAUUUUUCUCUUUCUUCUUUUCAAUUACACAUUUUUCAAUUAAAUAAUAUUAUACGCAAAUUUAAAAUUUUUCUUUAUUCUUUAAUCACACAUUUUCCAUCAAUCAACUAUUUUAAAAUGUAUUUUUCAAUAUGAAAGAGGCUCAAGGUAUAAGUUAGAAUUUUUGGUAAAUUAUUAUAGCGAAAACUUGAUCAAACAGAAAAUUUGAAAUUCUAGGUUUUUUACUUGCAAGUUCUCAACUCUAUCCCAACUUUUCAAACUAAUUAUCAGUUCAUUCUACGUCUUCAGUGGCAGUGUUCAUCUGCCUUAUAAAUAUAUUGAACAAAGCUCAUCCUACAUAUUAGGUUUGUUCGUAAAUACCUUGGUGUGUGUGAGUCGACGCUUUGCUACGCUAUCUAUACUACACGAUUCUAUUUCGAACUCAAAUUGAUGUCAAGUUUUUCAUGUUUUUGUGAUGUUUUUUAGAUUUUUUGAAAAUUAGUUUCAUAAUAUUUGAAGGUUAAAUUACAAAUCAUCCAUAAAUUCCAAUUCUACUGGAAAAAUAGCUACCAAUCUUCGUAAUAUGAUGAGCAAAAUUUAGAAUGAAUUAAAACAAUACCUUUAUACACAAAGUGAAAAAAAAAUUAAAAAAAAAAUCAAAGAACUCGUUAUUUCUAUAUCUACUAUAUAAAAAGAAGAAUGUGAAGUUAUUGUAGAAAUCAAUAGUGAAUUCUUCCAUUUUAUCUUACUGUAACUUUUUUUUUCUUUUUUUUCGUAAGUAAUAACGACGUCAUUUCCUGUUCAACUAUUCCCCUGAAAUGCUACAGUGACAUUUUCCCCUUUUCUCAAUUGGCAUUUAUAUUUUUUAUAUCUUCUCCAUUUUUACACGUUACUGCCUUUUUGGUUCUUCAUUUCAUCACACAAAUCACCUGUAAUUUCUUUUUCUCUCUAAAGUUUAUUGGCUCUUUUCUUUUCCAUGGAUGAAUGAUUUAUUGAUCGUAAAAUCAAAAUUAUGUGGAAGAAGUAAAUAUAGAAUGAAGUCUUUUUAACUUACAAUUAUGUAAAAAUAAUAAUAAUAAUAAAUAAAAAAAAAAACCCACGCGCACUCCUGCUACCCAGAUUUUGGACAAAAAAAUCUCUUCUUUUUUUGUUAAAUAUAAAUCAUUUAAUGUUUCAAAUUUAUUUUGUUAAUAUAUAUAUAUAUAUAUAUAUAUAUAUAUAUAUAUAGUCUAGUUCACUCCGCGUACAGAGUGUAUUCCACUUCGUAUACGGAGUGGCAGGAUGGUAGAAUUUUUUUCUCCUUUCUCAACUCCAAUUUUUUGAGUUUUGGAGAAAUUUUGAGGUUGUCACUUUUUUAUGAAUUUUUUUAGUCAAAUUUAAUUAGAAAUGUGCCAAUCCAAUUGAUAAAGAAAAGAAAUUGAAUGAUUUAACAAAUAAAACAAAAAAAAAUUAUAGGUAAAAAUAAAAAGAAACAAAAAAAAGUUAUUAUAAGUUUUUAAAUUAAAUUUAAAUAAUUAAAAUUUAAAUUUAAAAAAUUGCAUUUUAUCGUAAAACAAAAAGAAUUAAAAAGAACUUUAAAUCGAACAAAAAAUUAUUUGUAAUAUGAAGAAAAAAGAAAUUUUAAAACAAUUUCAAAAAUAUAAUAAAAACAAAAUAAAAGAAAGUUACAAAAAUUAAAUAAAGAAUAUUUAUUUAAUUGAAAUUAGAAUUUUUAUCAUAAAAUGAAAAGAAUUAAAAAGAAUUUUUUUAAAUCGAAUUUUUAUUAUUACUAAUUUUUUUUUUUUUGCAAUAUAUUUGAACAAAACAAAAUUAGACCAAAAAAAAAAAAUAGCUCUCCAUCCCACUGUUUGACACAUUUUGAUGUGUGUGGAUUUUACACACACUAUGGAUGGAGAGAUUUCUCUCCGUGCACAAAUUUUUUUUUCCUUUAUUUUUUAUUUUUUAUUUGUUUUGUUUAAAUUAUAAAUAAUUUUUAAAAUUCUUUUUAAUUCUUUUGUCUUCAUGAUAAAACUUAAAUUUUCAAUUUUAACUAAAUAAUAUUUAUAUAUUCUUUAUUUAAUUUUUGUAACUUUCUUUUAUUUUGUUUUUAUUAUAUUUUUUUGAAAAUUAUUUUAAAAAUUCUUUUUUUCUUCGUAUUAUAAAUAAAUUUUUUCAAUUUAAAAUUCUUUUCGCUUUAUGAUAAAUCGUCAUUUUUUUAUUUUUAAUAAAUAAUGUUUAUUUUUAAUUUUAAUUAUUUCAAUUUAAUUAAAAAACUUCAUAGUAACUUUUUUCUGUUUCUUUUUAUUUUUUCCUUUAAUUUUUUUUUAAUUUGUUUAAUCAUUUAGUUUUUUUAUUCGUAUUGGUGUAAAAUGAUGGUUACGAAUUAAAUGAUUUAACAAAUUAGAGAAAAAAAAAAAAGAACAACAAACAAAAAUAGAAAAAAAUUACAGGAAAAAAUAAAAAGAAACAAAACAAAGUUAUUAUAAAGUUUUUAAAUUGAAUUGAAAUAAUUAGAAUUAAAAUUGAAAAAAUCAAAAUAAAAGAAAUUUAUGAAAAUUAAAUAAAUUUAUUUUUUCAUUUCAUUUUUUAUCCAUUUUUACUUGCAUUUACAGUAGAAAACAAUAUCAUUUCCCUAUGUUGAAUGGCGGGUUAAUUUCACAAACGAUCACUGAACUUACAAAAAAAUUACAAAACAGUCAUUGAAAUUUAAAACUUUCAGUAAUAGUCACUUAAAUAUUGGGACGCUUUCAAAAAUGCUUACUGAAGUUUAAAAAUUUUUGAGCUACUUUUGCGGCAAAUUUUCGACCACUUUCGACAACCGAUACCACCAGAUUUUGAUACCAUUGAAAAGCCUACAAUGUACUCUUCAAUUACAACAAAAAAUUUCCCCCAAACUCCAAAGGAUUCGGCCGGAAUAAACCCACAAAAUUGGCUACUCGAAAAGGGAAAAAUUUACCCAAAUUUUCAGAUUUUUGGUGGACUUUUGCGGCGAUGUUUUGACAACUUCCGACUACCAAAAUAGCCAAAUUUUGAUACCGUUGGAAAGCCCACAAUGUCCUCUUUAAUUAGGAUCCAAAAUCUCCCCAAAACUCCAAAGGAUUCGGUCGGAAUAAACUCACAAAGUUAGCAUCCUAGAUUUUCACCUUUUUGGGAUGCCGACUUUGCGGGUUUAUUCCGGUCGAAUCCUUUGGAGUUUGGGGGAGAUUUUGGAUGGUAAUUGAAGAGGACAUUGUGGGCUUUUCAACGGUAUCAAAAUCCUGUGGUCUUGGUGGUCGAAAGUCGCUGAAAAAUUGUCGUAAAAUUCGUCCAAAAAUCUGAAAAUCUGCGUAGAUUUUCAGAUUUUUUGGGGCAACUUUUGCGGUGAUUUUUCAGUCGAAUUCCUUGGUGUUACGGAGAAAUUUUGAGUGGUAAUUGAAGAGGACGUUGUGGGCUUUCUAACGGUAUCAAAAUUCGAUGGUAUCGGUGGUUGGAAGUAACCGAAAAAUUGCCACAAAUGUAACCAAAAAAACUAAAAAAAAAUAUUUUUCAACUUCAGUGACUAUUUCAGUAACUUUUUAAACUUCAGUGACCGUUUUUGAAAGCGUUCCAAUAUUUAAGUGACUGUUACUGAAAAUUUUAAACUUCAGUGACCGUUUUGUAAUUUUCUGUAAGUUCAGUGACCGUUUGUGAAAUUAACCCUUGAAUGGCAAAACAAUCCGUUUAUUCAAUUAAUAUGACAAAUGAUUGAAUAUAUCUUAUAUAUAAAUAUAGAAAAUAUUAAUUAUUUAAUUAAUAAUAAUUAAAUCUUGAUCAAUGUAUGUUAUAUUUACUUCUUACCUUAAUGUUUGAAAUGAAUUUUUUUUCCAAAAAUGAAAAAAUAAAAUAAAAUAAGAUAAUGAUUAAAAUUGAGAAAUAUCCUUCUCAACUCCACAUUUAGAAGGUAUUCCAUCAUGCAAAAAUUCAAAUGUUAGAACAUUGAACAAAAAAUAAUUCAAUAAAGUAUAAUAUCAAAAAAUUAAGUGAAGUUAAUUGUAACUAUUAUUUUAAAGUUUUUUAAUUGCAAUGAACCAAACGAUCGGAUUUUACCAAACACUUUGAAUCUUUAACAAGUUUUGAAAAAUCUACAAUUUUGACACUAAUAAAAACACACUAAAUACAAAACUCGUGCAACGCACGUGACAAUGACUAAUUAUUAAAUCAAUGAUGGAUAUAUUAUAGCUUGAAGCACAAAAGAAACUCUCAACUUAGCAUAUUCAAUUAAAAGUGUCACGUCGAAGUGAGCAACUUGAUCUUUAAAGACACAACAAUCAUACUAGGCAAGACUUGGCAAGACGCUAGUUAUGUGCUAAAACUAAGCUUGGUUAGUAGUGUCGGUCCGUUACCACUCUCCCUCUUGUUAAACCAUGAAUUCUUUGGAGUGAGCUGAAUGAUCAUGUAAGUAGAGAUCAUGGAAUAAGAAGCUCAUCGCCUUGCAAAAUCUUUUCUUAGUAUAAUUAUUUAUAUCACUAUUAAGAGUAUUUUUAUAUUUUAGGAUCAUAAAUAUUAUAUUUUUUUCUUUCUACUGUUACGUGUCAAUUUCUAUCACAAUUUUAAGACCAUUCCAUCCAUUGGUCAAAUUUUUCAAACAAAAAAAAAUAAAAAAAAAAUAAAAUUUAAAAAAAAAUAAUAAUAAUAAUAAUUCGUCUGUUGCGUUUUCAAGUUUAUACAUCUUCCAACCAAAAGCAAUCCUCUUAUCGUCUAAGCAACGCAAUGGAACCCCUAUAUAAUUGGGAGAAUUGUUUAAUCCAAAACCAUAUUCUCUUUUCUCAUCUACAACUUGUAACCAUAAAAUAAAGAAGACUGCCAUGGCUUCCAACCACACCAAAAAAGUGCUCCACGACCUCUCUCCUUAUCUCGUAGUGUACACAGAUGGAACCAUCGAGAGAUUCGUGAUCACAACUAGUGUCCCUCCGUCACCGGAGGACCCAACCACUGGCGUAGCCUCCAAAGACAUAAUAGUUGUUUCACCGGAUGUCAAAGCCAGACUAUUCCUGCCAAAGCUGACAGACACCGACCAAAAACUCCCCGUUUUAGUCUACUACCAUGGCGGUGGAUUUAUCGUCGAUUCCCCCUACUGUUUGCCCUACCACCGUUACAUGAAUUUUUUAGCCGCCGAAGCAAAAGCUCUAAUCAUUUCUGUUGAAUACAGGCUCGCCCCUGAACACCUUCUACCCAUAGCCUAUGAAGAUUCGUGGACUGCCCUUCAAUGGGUGGCAUCUCACGUUAUUGCAAACGCUAAUAUCGAAAAGGAUCCAUGGAUUAUUAAACAUGGCGAUUUUGGUCAUCUGUAUAUCGGUGGCGAUAGUGCAGGUGGCAAUAUAGCACAUAAUAUUGCUCUCCGAGCUGGGGUGGAACCAUUGAUCGGGGAUGUGAAAAUCAUGGGUACGUAUCUAUGUUAUCCGUAUUUCUGGGGAUCAAAACCAGUUGGACCGCAAUCAAAAGAAGAUUUGACUGGUUUUGCAUAUAAAGUUUGGAUGUGUGUUUAUCCAUCAGCCGCUGGUGGGAUUGACAAUCCGAUGAUCAAUCCAUUUGUAGAGAACGCCCCGAGCUUAUCCGGGCUGGCGUGUUCAAGGCUGCUGGUUUGUUUAGCAGGGAAGGAUGCAUUUACGCCUAGAGGGAUUCUCUACGUUGAGACUGUGAAGAAAAGUGGGUGGAAAGGUGAAGAACAACUGGUGGAGGUUGAUGGAGAAGAUCAUGAAUUUCAUGUAAAUAAUCCUUAUACUGAGCAAGCAAAGGAUUUGAUGAAGAAAUUGGCUGCUUUCAUUUCCAAGUGAGAUUUUUUUCAGCUUUUGUAAUAAGUAUGCAUAUUUCAGCUUGUGGUGUAGUUUAUAUUGAACGUGUUGUGGCCAAGUU